UACGAGGGGGGCGAGCGUUGUUCGGAAUUAUUGGGCGUAAAGGGUGCGUAGGCGGUUUGGUAAGUCUUGUGUGAAAUCUACAGGCUCAACUUGUAGUCUGCACGAGAAACUGCCGGGCUUGAGUGUGGGAGAGGUGAGUGGAAUUCCUGGUGUAGCGGUGAAAUGCGUAGAUAUCAGGAGGAACACCUGUGGCGAAAGCGGCUCACUGGACCAUUACUGACGCUGAUGCACGAAAGCUAGGGGAGCAAACAGG
rnacentral:rRNA from 1 species